rnacentral:rRNA from 1 species
UAGGUGCUUGCAUUUGAAAGAUUUAGCCUUGAGACGAGUGGCGAACUGGUGAGUAACACGUGGGUAACCUGCCCUUGAAGUAGGGGAUAACACUUGGAAACAGGUGCUAAUACCGUAUAACAACCAAAACCACCUGGUUUUGGUUUAAAAGACGGCUUCGGCUGUCACUUUAGGAUGGACCCGCGGCGUAUUAGCUUGUUGGUAAGGUAACGGCCUACCAAGGCGAUGAUACGUAGCCGACCUGAGAGGGUAAUCGGCCACAUUGGGACUGAGACACGGCCCAAACUCCUACGGGAGGCAGCAGUAGGGAAUCUUCCACGAUGGACGAAAGUCUGAUGGAGCAACGCCGCGUGAGUGAUGAAGGGUUUCGGCUCGUAAAACUCUGUUGUUGGAGAAGAACAGGUGUCAGAGUAACUGUUGACAUCUUGACGGUAUCCAACCAGAAAGCCACGGCUAACUACGUGCCAGCAGCCGCGGUAAUACGUAGGUGGCAAGCGUUGUCCGGAUUUAUUGGGCGUAAAGCGAGCGCAGGCGGUUUUUUAGGUCUGAUGUGAAAGCCUUCGGCUUAACCGGAGAAGUGCAUCGGAAACCGGGAGACUUGAGUGCAGAAGAGGACAGUGGAACUCCAUGUGUAGCGGUGAAAUGCGUAGAUAUAUGGAAGAACACCAGUGGCGAAGGCGGCUGUCUGGUCUGUAACUGACGCUGAGGCUCGAAAGCAUGGGUAGCGAACAGGAUUAGAUACCCUGGUAGUCCAUGCCGUAAACGAUGAGUGCUAAGUGUUGGAGGGUUUCCGCCCU